GGUUCCAUAGUGUAGCAGUCGUCAUGGCUGCUUUAUAUGCAGAAAGUCCUGGGUUCAAUCCCCAGUGGACCCA
rnacentral:tRNA from 1 species